ensembl:lncRNA
AGGACAAAGGCACCUCAGUGUGAAUGAAUGGGACAUCACUAUGAAUCACCAUAGGGCUCUGGAGAAAAGUAGUGCACUAUUUAGGGAAAAGGGUGCCAUUUGGGACAAUACCCUAGAUAUAAAAGCAGGAAGAUGAGGUUACUGGGACUGUAGUGGAGGUUACUGGGACUGUACUGUUAGUGGAGGUUACUGGGACUGUACUGUUAGUGGAGGUUACUGGGACUGUAGAGGAGGUUACUGGGACUGUAGUGGAGGUUACUGGGACUGUACUGUUAGUGGAGGUUACUGGGACUGUAGUGGAGGUUACUGGGACUGUAGUGGAGGUUACUGGGACUGUUAGUGGAGGUUACUGGGACUGUAGUGGAGGUUACUGGGACUGUACUGUUAGUGGAGGUUACUGGGACUGUAGUGGAGGUUACUGGGACUGUAGUGGACGUUACUGGGACUGUAGUGGAGGUUACUGGGACUGUAGUGUAGGUUACUGGGACUGUACUGUUAGUGGAGAUUACUGGGACUGUAGUGGAGGUUACUGGGACUGUACUGUUAGUGGAGGUUACUGGGACUGUAGUGGAGGUUACUGGGACUGUACUGCUACUCAACAGAGUUCUAGAGGUUGUGAGUAGGCUUGCUUUCCAUAUACUGCUCAAUAUCCAGAUAAGAGACUAGAUUACAGGCGUAUGCAUGUUAAGAUGAGAGUUUCCACAACCAAUAGCCAACUCAUGUGGAUAAUGCACACAGACAGUUAUGCUUGGGGUGAGUUGGCUCCACAACGCCCUCUGGUGGUAGGAUUAUAUGCCCAGCACUCAAUAAAGCUGUCUACCUUUACCACAGGUGUCAGACUCGUUCCAUUAUAUGUCUAUGGGCCGAGUGUCUGUGGGUUUUUGCUCCUCGUUUGUACUUGAGUGAUCGAGUAAGGUCACUGAUUAGUUAGGAACACCCCUCCUCACCUGGUUGUCUAGGUCGUCAUUGGUUAGUUAGGAACUCCCCUCCUCACCUGGUUGUCUAGGUCUUCAUUGGUUAGUUAGGAACUCCCCUCCUCACCUGGUUGUCUAGGUCUUCAUUGGUUAGUUAGGAACUCCCCUCCUCACCUGGUUGUCAAGGUCGUCAUUGGUUAGUUAGGAUCUCCCCUCCUCACCUGGUUGUCUAGGUCUUCAUUGGUUAGUUAGGAACUCCCCUCCUCACAUGGUUGUCAAGGUCGUCAUUGGUUAGUUAGGAACUCCCCUCCUCACCUGGUUGUCUAGGUCUUCAUUGGUUAGUUAGGAACUCCCCUCCUCACCUGGUUGUCUAGGUCUUCAUUGGUUAGUUAGGAACUCCCCUCACCUGGUUGUCUAGGUCUUAAUUGGUUAGGAACUCCCCUCACCUGGUUAUCUAGGUCUUAAUUGGUUAGGAACUCCCCUCACCUGGUUGUCUAGGUCUUAAUUGGUUAGGAACUCCCCUCACCUGGUUGUCUAGGUCUUAAUUGGUUAGGAACUCCCCUCACCUGGUUGUCUCCCUCUUAAUUGGUCUUAAAAACCAGCAGACACUGGGCCAUGGAAUGAGUGACACCCCUGACCCCUGGUAUCCAUACAACCCUAGUCUCAUGGGACCAUCCUUCCAAAUCUGACCCCUGGUAUCCAUACAACCCUAGUCUCAUGGGACAAUCCUUCCAAAUCUGACCCCUGGUGUCCAUACAACCCUAGUAUCAUGGGACCAUCCUUCCAAAUCUGACCCCUGGUGUCCAUACAACCCUAGUAUCAUGGGACCAUCCUUCCAAAUCUGACCCCUGGUGUCCAUACAACCCUAGUAUCAUGGGACAAUCCUUCCAAAUCUGACCCCUGGUGUCCAUACAACCCUAGUAUCAUGGGACCAUCCUUCCAAAUCUGACCCCUGGUGUCCAUACAACCCUAGUCUCAUGGGACCAUCCUUCCAAAUCUGACCCCUGGUGUCCAUACAACCCUAGUCUCAUGGGACCAUCCUUCCAAAUCUGACCCCUGGUAUCCAUACAACCCUAGUAUCAUGGGACUUCCAAAUCUGGUCUCAUUGACUGAGUGAAGACGGGGUCUCUGGGGGGUACACUGUCCCCAAACAUCUAAAAGUGACAAGUAAUAUGAAUCUCUCCCAAGUUACACAGGCUCCCUAGAGUUACUCAAUUUCCUCAUCUCAAACUCAAACACCAAAUCCUCCAAAACAAAGGGAUGGAUCCUCUCAAACACCAAAUCCUCCAAAACAAAGGGAUGGAUCCUCUCAAACACCAAAUCCUCCAAAACAAAGAGAUGGAUCCUCUCAAACACCAAAUCCUCCAAAACAAAGAGAUGGAUCCUCUCAAACACCAAAUCCUCCAAAACAAAG